AUGUAUGCACCCCAAGCCAUGAUGUCGCUAAGCGCCACAUUACUCGGUCAUCUCUCUGUUCCAGCGGCGGCCUCCUAAACGCCGAUCCGAUCCGCUCCCUGUGGCGGCCGAGAACGGCCGGUGAUGGUGGCCAACGGCGGGGAGUGUUGAUGACGUCUGCCUGCUGCUCGAUUCCAGGUCAUGCAAGGCAAUCGUAGCUCACACAGGUGCGUAGCAAAAAGGGGCAAAGCAUGGCAUUGCAAUGUAUCCAUAGGUACACCACUGCAUGUUGGGCAAUGAGUGCAUUUACCUUUUGUAUGAUCGCUCCAUUCAUCUCAAGAUUCGCAAAAACAAUUGCCAUCCUGCAUUAGCAAAUGCACACAUUAGCUAAUGCAAUGUACGAUCAACAAAUGCAGGUUGUCAGACACCCUCAUGUUCUCUUCUCCUGUCUCAUGAAGGAGCAGUCCCCUGUGCCAAACAAGUGACCUAUGAAAAUUGGCGGUCUCAGACCAAGUUGGUGUCUCACAAAAAAGAGGGAGCUGCAGAUGGCAGCUGGGGAUGUUGGUGGCCCUUUGUAGAUUUAGCAUUGGCAGCUACGUUGGUGGGUUCCACAGGAUGAGUGGCACAAGGAGACGCCAGGUCAGAUUCGUCGAGAAAUGGCGUCCAGUUUUGCUCGCUCCGUCACGUGAGCCGUCGAUUAAGUAUUGGACGUCUGUCCGGUGGUUCCGUUGGAAGUUUGCCUUUCUUGCCGUCGACGCCGUCACCGAGGCGGUCGCAUUACCUCCGCCCGGCGUUCCGCAAGUUGCCGCAUUCUGCCACGCAUCGUCGUCCCUAGCAAUCGGUAUCCUCACCUCGCCAUUAAACGUUGCGUCGCCUAGCUGUCCAACCGGUGGUGGCUUUUCCUUUCUCUUCGCUGAUGCCGUCACCGGCAGGGUGACGUUACCUCCGGGUGACGUUAUGGAAUGUGACGCCUUUUGC